GACGAACGCUGGCGGCGUGCUUAACACAUGCAAGUCGAACGGUGAAGCGCCUUCCUUUUUGGUGGGUGUGGAUGAGUGGCGAACGGGUGAGUAACACGUGAGUAACCUGCCCCCUUCUUCUGGAUAACCGCAUGAAAGUGUGGCUAAUACGGGAUAUUCUGGGUCUGUCGCAUGAUGGGUCUGGGAAAGAUGUUGUUUCGGUGGGGGAUGGGCUCGCGGCCUAUCAGCUUGUUGGGGGGGUGAUGGCCUACCAAGGCGGUGACGGGUAGCCGGCCUGGGAGGGUGGACGGUCACACUGGGACUGAGACACGGCCCAGACUCCUACGGGAGGCAGCAGUGGGGAAUAUUGCACAAUGGGCGCAAGCCUGAUGCAGCGACGCCGCGUGAGGGAUGGAGGCCUUCGGGUUGUGAACCUCUUUCGCCAGUGAAGCAGGCCUGCCUCGUUUGUGGGUGGGUUGACAGUAGCUGGAUAAGAAGCGCCGGCUAACUACGUG
rnacentral:rRNA from 1 species